rnacentral:rRNA from 1 species
AUGGCGGCGCAGGCGGCGAGGCCGAACCCCUGCGCGGCCUUCCGCUCGGUCCCGCCGCCGCUGCCCGCGCGCCGCGCCGACGCCGCGCCGAGGCCCAAGGAUGCACCUUGUCCUACCUCUAAUGGCGAUAGAGGUCUUUCUGGGCGGUGCAAAAAGCCUCCAGAGCAUGCCAUGCAUAAGCCGUCUGGCGGUACAUAUACAAAACCUGAUGCAAGAGUGAAGUUGAUUCCGGCAGAAGACAUCACUUAUGUACGGCAUGGAAAGUCUUUUGGUAGAACAGUUGGCUCAGCAAAACUGCAGAAAACACACUGCAGACGAAGUGUCACUCCUCCUCCGAGUUCGCGUAAAAUUUCUCUUGCGAGAUCGACACCGCUUACUCACAAGUCCACGACACCGUUUACUCCCAAGGCCAUGCCACCGCUUAAUCACAAGGCUUUGGUGCCUCUUACCCACAAGGCCACAGCACCUCUUACUCACAAGCCCACGACACCUCUUACUCACAAGCCCACGACACCACCCCAUCCUGUUGCCUCGUGUCUUUCUCCUAAGAGAGUUGAGACAGCUCACAAGGCCUCGGGACCUCUUAGUCCCAAGCCCACUACACCACCCCAGCCUGUUGCAUCGUGUCUUUCUCCUAAGAGAGUUGGGACAGCUCACAAGGCCUCGGGACCUCUUAGUCCCAAGCCCACUACACCACCCCUGCCUGUUGCAUCGUGUCUUUCUCCUAAGAGAGUUGAGACAGUUGAAAACAGGCAAUUUUUCUCUCUCAAUCGGCCAUCACCACUCUACAAGGCUGUCCAGAGAGGUACAUUUCCUCCAUCUGUUUCGCAGAAAGAGUCAGAGAUGAAUCCCAUCAACCCUAGUUCUGUGCAUGUUCCUCCUGCAUAUUCAAGGAAGGUUCCUCUUAAGAGUGUCGUCACACUUGACAACAAAAAGUUAUGCUCUACAAGCAAUCAGGCUGCACUUAAAUGUCAGCCCACAAAAAGAGACGCAGAUCCUAUUGUGGAAAAAGAAACUACUGUGAAGCUUCCAUUACUGAGCCCAACAUCUGUGCUUAGUUCAAGUUCCACCGAGGUCUGCCCAGAUACUGGAAGGUCUUCGUCCAGACUAAAUUUGUUUGAUGGAAAAUCCAAGCUGGACUCACUGCAGCCUGAAACAAACAUACCUCAAGCAAAAAGCCCAGAGUCUACAACUCCAACCCGAUGUGCUCAACUUUCCAAUGAUUUGAGAGUUGUUUCCUCCACUAAGAGCCAUGUCGAGAGACAAACGAACCAGGAACCAUCAAUUAGUCGUAACAUGUCUUCAGGUGCCCAAUUAAUUCUACAUACACCACUGUGCAAGGAGACAUACCAACCAGAGGCCUGCUGGAAGGGCAAAUUUGAAAUAACUGGAGAGCUAACACACACUUGUGAUGGACUUGAAGCCUAUUUCCCUUGUGAAAUUUCUAGCAAAGUUUAUGAAGCUUCAAAACAGAUGCCUGAAAUCUUGAAGCUAGAGGCUCUACCUCUUUCUGGCCUGUUACCAAAAAAAUUCAAGAUGGAACCACCUCGUGUUCAAGAUAUUGGACUGUGCUUCAUAAGUUCUUGUCAAAGGUCAAAUAGGGACUCUUACCAUCUCCUGGAAAAUGUUUCUUCACAUAUUGGCUUGCGGACUGACAUCGGCACAGUGGAGUUGCUUAUAUUUUCGUCCAAGCUGCUUACGGAAGAUGAUCAAACGAAAGACGGAGAACUUUACCUUUUUGGAGUUUUCCAGAAGCGUACCAGAAAGAGGCAGCACCGAGUCGACAGUCAUACAGAUAUCAGCAAUGUUGGCCUUUCAAAGGGAGACUGUAAUAUAUCUGAGGAUAUUGGCAUGGACCUGGAUAUGAUAGGAGGCAAAUACACAAAAGGUAAUGCAGCUCCCGCUGUUUCUUUCUUCACUGGGUCUUGUAGUCCUGACUCCGCAGGGACUACAGAUUCUCUAUGUAAAUCUGCUAGGAGAGCUCCUGCUUGCGGAGACCUUGUUUUGGACCCACCUUCAGGAUUUCUUCCUCUUGAUGUCCCUCCUGGCUUCACAAGAGCUCAUUGUGGACUGAGACUUGAUGCUCCUCCAGGAUUUACAAAAGCACAUGGUGGGUUACACACCAAUGACAGCAUGCCUUCUCCUGGAGCAGAAAACGGUGCUUCCACUCUUUUCUCUGAGAGAAAGUCCCCAAUCAAGUUCUCUCUUAACAUUACAAGGCCUCCUGGAUUUGCUAAAUUGGCUGAGGUGAAAAAAGAGCCUGGGUUACCAGCAUUCUUUAAGGCCACGGAGAAAACACCACCAAUUGGAAAAGCAAAUGAAAAGGAUAUCAAGCAUGAUAAGCAGGUGAACGUCGAAGUGGAAUCGGAUGACAGCUCGGAGGAGCGAGAGUUUCCCAAGACCAAGAGGCUCUCAGAUAUCCUGGGUUCUUGUGCCUCUUCGUCUUGGAGGAAUAACGCAAGUACCUCAGCCGCACCUCGAAACUGCUCUGAAGUUUUCAGGCCUGCGAGUGCGAGCAAGUCUGAGGAACAAAAGCAGCACCAUCGGCAUUGCAGGAAGAGAGGGCAGCAGGAAGCAUCCGAAUCCGCUGCUGCUGUUGAGGCCACCAAAAGGCUCAAGGUCAACGGCCGCAUCGCGCUCAACGGUUGUCCUGCCCUCAACUCCAACCAAGCGCAACCCAAAACUCCACCAACAUAG